UACGUAGGUCCCGAGCGUUGUCCGGAUUUAUUGGGCGUAAAGCGAGCGCAGGUGGUUUAUUAAGUCUGGUGUAAAAGGCAGUGGCUCAACCAUUGUAUGCAUUGGAAACUGGUAGGCUUGAGUGCAGGAGAGGAGAGUGGAAUUCCAUGUGUAGCGGCGAAAUGCGUAGAUAUAUGGAGGAACACCGGUGGCGAAAGCGGCUCUCUGGCCUGUAACUGACACUGAGGCUCGAAAGCGUGGGGAGCAAACAGG
rnacentral:rRNA from 1 species